AUCAACUCAACUCUGUACAAUGGAAAGCUGUUUCUAUCUCCAAUGAAGAUAAUUUUGCUGGAGACAAAACAGAGGAAACUGUGAGCGCCUACGAACUUGUAGAGCAGCCAGACUACUCCUUUUGUUUUGGUGAUAUUGUGUUUGCGGCUCAAAUGAUAGUCACGGCUUGCUCAGACUCAAAAUCAAUCAUCCCCAUUCAGAGUUCGGAGUUUGAGCUUCAAUGGCGACGAAGAAGCAGAACGAUGAUAACACCAAGAAGGCGGGCUUUACGCACUAGUGCCCCCCAGUCCCCAACUUUCGUUCUCACCGUCGAAGAAGCCGUACGCUCGCCAUCGUUCUCACCCUCAAGCAGACGACUCGCUUUCGCCCUUCCCUCAACUCCCCUUUUCUAGCAAAACAGUUCUGGAACUGCCCUCCUGAGAUAAUGGCAAGUCAGUGACUGACCUGAAGGCGGAGGCUUCUCUUGAGGAUGGUAACCAAGUUCAUUGUGUAGAUGAGCUCCCUGAUAAUCCUUUCCUGUGCUGUGUUGGGAAUGUUUCUGGUUUCGAAGAUGGUAACAUGGAGGUGAAUUGGGCUAAUGGUUUCACAACCAAGGUUGCACCUUAUGAAGUUUUUCGAAUUGAAAAACAUGAAGGUUCAUAUGUUAUCUCCUUUCCUCAUGAAACUAAUGUUGAUGAGUUACCUCAAGAGAUGAUUGAACACAGAAGUCUACCCUCUGACAAGAAGGGAACGGUGUGUAAUAUGCAUUUCCUUGAAUAUUAGUAGCUGCUGUUGACUGAAUUAUUUAGGUGACACUAAGACACUGGUGGGUGCUGAUAUUUCGGAUGCUUGUUAGACAAAUUCAAGCAAGAGAAAAAAUUAGUGAUGAUGUUCGAUCUGAUUCAGAAGAUGAAGAUAGCCAUGAAGAUUGAGAUGGAAAGCAAGACCAUAAUGUAAUCUUAAGGCAUAGGUGAAUUUUGAAUGGUGGCAACUGACAAGUAGUUUCACACUUUGGAGUUCUACAAAUAUAGUCACAUUUUUAUGUGGAAUCAUGUUUAAUAUAGUAGUUAAUUCUAUAACAUUCAAAAGCUUUAGAAGGGUAUUCCACAAGUAAAAUGGCUUGAGCCACUGACACUCAUCAAGCCAUUGCCUCUCUCAUGAUGUAUGUUUUGAACAUUGUGUUUCUCUGAGGCAAGAUGGAAUUCAAAAUGUCCAUUCUGUUAGGUUUCAAUAUAAAUAGAUAUGGAAAUUAUAGGCAUCUGUAUUAGUUUUAUUUAAUCUUGUGUGUGUUUUCCUUAAACUGAGGUAGAUGUUGCCUGGUUUCUUUCUUGCAGAUGAAUUGUCUUAGCUUCGAAAUUCUUAGAUCAAUCUACAAUGGAGCAGUUGCUAAUGAUUAUGAACUAAGAUUUCAAGUAUUAGAGGAAUAGAAUGAAAAGAAGAAAAAAAAUCCACUUUACUUUACACAUUUCCACCGUUUACUUAAAUUCAAGUUUCAGGCAACCAAGAUCCUCUAAAACAAAAAACACUCAACAUUAAAGGAAAAUGUAUAAGCUAAUUACUUUUAUGCACACAAAGACAACUCAAUCAUUCCUCCAAACCUAUCUUUAAACAAAUUCUUAAAAUCCGGAAGAACCGUGAAAAUUCCUCGGUUCCCUUUCUUUUAAUUAUUCUGAACUCUCUAUGCCAUGUUUAUUAAUAUUAACCAUAAUUCACUUGCGGAGGGAGUAGGACAUUUAUUUAUCAGAUCUCAUCAAUCA